rnacentral:rRNA from 1 species
GGGGGGGGGGGGGGGGGGGCGGGGUCCAGGGGGGUCGGGCGAACAGGCGAGGGGCUUGCUCCGCUGGCGUUAGCGGCGGACGGGUGAGUCACACGUGGAUAACCGUCCUCUUCGACUGGGAUAACUUCGGGAACCCGGUGCUAUUCCCGGGUCCUAUCUUGAGCCGCAUGGUUCCAUCGUGAACGACGGUUUUGCUGUCCCUUAUCCACUGCUCCGCGCCGCAUUAGCUAGUUGGUACGGUAACGGCUUACCAAGGCAACGCUGCGUAGCCGACCUGAUCGGGUGAUCGGACACACUGGAACUGAGACACGGGACAGACUCCUACGGGAGGCAGCAGUAGGGAAGCUUCCGCAAUGGGCGAAAGCCUGACGGAGCAACGCCGCGUGAGUGAUGAAGGUCUGCGGAUCGUAAAACUCUGUUAUUAGGGAAGAACAAAUGUGUAAGUAACGAUGCACGUCUUGACGGUACCUAAGCAGAAAGCCACGGCUAACUACGUG